rnacentral:rRNA from 2 species
GUUCUUUUCUCGCAUGAGAGAAGAUGGAAAGACGGUUUACGCUGUCACUUAUAGAUGGGCCCGCGGCGCAUUAGCUAGUUGGUGAGGUAAUGGCUCACCAAGGCGACGAUGCGUAGCCGACCUGAGAGGGUGAUCGGCCACACUGGGACUGAGACACGGCCCAGACUCCUACGGGAGGCAGCAGUAGGGAAUCUUCCGCAAUGGACGAAAGUCUGACGGAGCAACGCCGCGUGAACGAAGAAGGCCUUCGGGUCGUAAAGUUCUGUUGUUAGGGAAGAACAAGUACCAGAGUAACUGCUGGUACCUUGACGGUACCUAACCAGAAAGCCACGGCUAACUACGUGCCAGCAGCCGCGGUAAUACGUAGGUGGCAAGCGUUGUCCGGAAUUAUUGGGCGUAAAGCGCGCGCAGGUGGUUCCUUAAGUCUGAUGUGAAAGCCCACGGCUCAACCGUGGAGGGUCAUUGGAAACUGGGGGACUUGAGUGCAGAAGAGGAAAGUGGAAUUCCAAGUGUAGCGGUGAAAUGCGUAGAGAUUUGGAGGAACCACCAGUGGCGAACGCGACUUUCUGGUCUUUUAACUGACCACUG